GAUGAACGCUGGCGGCGUUCCUAAUACAUGCAAGUCGAGCGGACGGACGCGACGUUUGCUUCUCUGAUGUUAGCGGCGGACGGGUGAGUCACACGUGGAUAACCUACUUAUCUGACUGGGAUCUCUUCGGGAAACCGGAGCUAAUACCGGAUAAUAUUUUGAACCGCGUGGUUCAUUAGUGAAAGACGGUCUUGCUGUCACUUAUAGAUGGAUACACGCUGCAUUAGCUAGUUGGUAAGGUACCGGCUUUCGAAGGAAACGCUGCGUAGCCGACGCGAGAGGGGGAUAGGCCGCACUAGAAGGGGAACACGGACCAGGGGACUAAGGGAGGCAGCAGUAGGGAAUCGUCGGCAAUGGGCGAAAGCCUGACGGAGCAACGCCGAGUGAGAGAUGAAGGUCUUCGGAUCGUAAAACUCUGUUAUGAGGGAAAAACAGAUGUGUAAGUAACUGUGCACAGCUUGACGGUACCUAAUCAAAAAGCCACGGCUAACUACGUG
rnacentral:rRNA from 1 species